GCCAGUGUGGUACAGCGGUUAGCACAUCUGCCUAUCAAGCAGGAGACCUGGGUUUGAAUCCUGGCACUGGUA